UUUAUCUGAAAUAUUCUGUUCCUCUUCUGAGUUCAAGUUCUGUAGUUCAUGGAGGUCAUCAUUAGCAUUCAUUGCACCUGCACCUUCUUGUCGUUUGACCUCCUGAUGUGAUUCAUUAGGACUGUUAUCAAGAUUCGGUGAAACUGCUUGUCUUCUGAGUUUUUUUUGUGGUUUAGCUGAAACCUUCUGCUCCUCUUCUAAGUUCAAGUUCUGUGGUUCAUGGAGGUCAUUAUUAGCAUUUAGUGCACCUGCACCUUGUUCUCUUUUGACCUCUUGAUGGGAUUCGUUAGGACUGUCAUCAAGAUUCAGUGCAACUGCUUGUCUUUUGAGUUUUUUUUGUGGAUUAGCUGAAACCUUCUGCUCCUCUUCUG
rnacentral:lncRNA from 1 species